CCUGCGGAAGGAUCAUUGAAGGGCCUCCUGUACUAUGCUUUAUAUAAGUUUAGAAUACAAUUCAAACCCUCCCGUGUACUAUUCCUGUUGCUUUCUAGGGGUCACUGUUUGUCCUGGUUCAACAUCGCAGUGAGGUUUGUGUCGUCGUCAUGGGUUAUCAGUGGUUACUUUACUAAAUUACCUAGUUUUGGUUUGUCUUUACCUAACCAUGCUAAGUGUUUAUUGGAGCUUACCCGUUGCCCUGGGCGGCGGUACUGGUCUUACAUAGCGCAUGUGGCUGGGCCGGGCUGGCACCUAAGAAUGGACUCUUUGAAUUUGUUUUGUCUUUUGUCUGAGUUUAAUAAAUAUCAAUUGUUAAAACUUUCAACAACGGAUCUCUUGGUUCCAGCAUCGAUGAAGAACGCAGCGAAAUGCGAAAAGUAAUAAGUGAAUUGCAGAGCCAUAAGUGGAACAUCGAAUCUUUGAACGCACAUUGCGUGUCAGCGGUAUAUAACCCGUGACACAUGCUUUUUUGAGCGUCCUUUAAAGACCGCAAGCUUUUUUGCUUGGUUGUGAAGCUUGAGCGAUGCCUCUGUGCAUGUUCACCUUUGAAAUCUAUCGGCGCAUGUCUUUACGUUCCAUUUAGCGUUACAAGUUGACUCUUUCGCUUGGAUUUGUAAAGCUGUGUUGCUGUGAUUACCUCAAUAUAUUCGACCUCAAAGAAGUAGGGAUACCCGCUGAACUUAAGCAUAUCAAUAAGCGGAGGAAAAGAAAC
rnacentral:rRNA from 1 species